CCCUUAGAUGUUCUGGGCCGCACGCGCGCUACACUGAUGCAUUCAACAAGCCUAGCCUUGACCGAGAGGUCCGGGUAAUCUUUGAAACUGCAUCGUGAUGGGGCUAGAUUAUUGCAAUUAUUAAUCUUCAACGAGGAAUGCCUAGUAAGCGUGAUUCAUCAAAUCGCGUUGAUUACGUCCCUGCCCUUUGUACACACCGCCCGUCGCUACUACUGAUUGGGUGUUCAAGUGAGAUGCUUAGACCCUUGUUGCAUGGUUCAUUAUUGUGCUCCGAAAGGAAAAAGUUUCAAGCUUGAGUGUCUAGAGGAAGUAAAAGUCGUAACA
rnacentral:rRNA from 1 species